UACGGAGGGUGCGAGCGUUAAUCGGAAUUACUGGGCGUAAAGCGCGCGUAGGCGGCCCGGCCAGUCCGACGUGAAAGCCCCGGGCUCAACCUGGGAACUGCGUUGGAUACUGCCGGGCUGGAGUGUGGGAGAGGGGCGUGGAAUUUCCGGUGUAGCAGUGAAAUGCGUAGAGAUCGGAAGGAACACCAGUGGCGAAGGCGGCGCCCUGGACCAACACUGACGCUGAGGUGCGAAAGCGUGGGGAG
rnacentral:rRNA from 1 species